rnacentral:tRNA from 1 species
GGGUGUGGCUCAGUGAUAUAGUGCUCAACUGGCAUGCGUGAGGCACUGGGUUCAAUCCUCAGCACCACA